CAUUACUCUAAAGCUUGUGUGUUACUUUAAGAAGUCAGAACAGCCACAUCACAUCGGAGUUUAAAUAAAAGCCCAACCAUCCAGUGAAAGGCAGAGAAGUAACAAACUACUCCAACCUAUACUGAGGAGAAAAAAACAGAUAAGGUGACACCCUGGACAUGGCCUCAGAUAAGCACAUGCCAGGCCCGGUAUGCCUCAUUGAGAACACUGACACACAACUAGUGGUUAACCCAGAAGCUUUGAAGAUCCUGUCUGCCAUUACACAGCCUGUGGUGGUGGUGGCCAUUGUGGGUCUCUACCGCACAGGCAAAUCCUACCUGAUGAACAAGCUGGCUGGGCAGAAAAAAGGCUUCUCUCUGGGCUCCACGGUUCAGUCUCACACCAAAGGCAUCUGGAUGUGGUGUGUGCCUCACCCUAAGAAACAAAACUAUACCCUAGUUCUGCUUGACACUAAGGGGCUGGGAGAUGAAGAGAAAGGUGACAACCAAAAUGACUCCUGGAUCUUUGCCCUGGCAAUACUGCUGAGCAGCACCUUUGUGUACAACAGCAUGGGGACCAUAAACCAUCAGGCCAUGGACGAACUGCGCUAUGUGACAGAGCUGACAGAUAAAAUAAGGGCAAAAUCUUCACCUGACGCAAAUGAGGUUGAGGACUCAGCUGACUUUGUGAGCUUCUUUCCAGAUUUUGUGUGGACGCUGAGGGAUAUUUCCCUAAAAUUGGAAGAACUAGAUGGGCAACCCACCUCAGCAGACGAGUACCUGCAGAAUUCACUCAAACUCAAGAAAGUUCCCAGUCCUAAAUAUGAAAACUUUAACCUGCCCCGACUUUGUAUCCGAAAGUUCUUCCCAAAGAAGAAAUGCUUUAUCUUUGAUCGGCCCACCAAUCAGAAGAAGCUAGGCCAACUUGAGACAAUGCAUGAUGAUGAGCUGGACCCCGAAUUCGUGCAACAAACUGCUGACUUCUGUUCCUACAUCUUUACCAAUUCCAAUGUCAAAACUCUUUCAGGGGACAUCCAGGUCAAUGGAUCCCGGCUGGAGACUCUGGUGCUGACCUAUGUUGAUGCCAUCAGCAGUGGGGACCUGCCCUGCAUGGAGAACGCAAUCCUGGCCUUGGCCCAGAUAGAGAACUCGGCUGCAGUGAAAAAGGCCAUUGCGCACUAUGACCAGCAGAUGGGGGAGAAGGUUGAACUGCCCACAGAAACCCUCCAAGAGCUCGUGGACCUGCACAUGGCCAGUGAGAAAGAGGCCAUUGAAAUCUUUAUGAAGAAUUCCUUCAAGGAUGUAGACCAUUUAUUUCAAAAGGAAUUAGCGGCCCAGCUACAAAAAAGAUGUAAUGACUUCUACAAAGAGAAUAUGAAAGCAUCAUCAGAUCGCUGCUCGGCUUUACUUAAGGAUAUCUUCCAUUCUUUAGAAGAAGAUAUAAAGCAGAGGGUUUAUUCUAAACCAGGAGGAUAUCAUCUCUUAAUGCAGACUGUGAAUGAGCUCAAGAAAAAGUAUCUUCAGGAACCCAGGAAGGGAAUACAGAGUAAAGAAGUCCUUCAGACAUACCUGAGGUCCAAGGAGUCUGUGACUGAAGAAAUUCUACAGGCAGACAAUACUCUCACAAAUAUGGAAAAGCUGAUUGAAGUGCAACGUGUGAAAGCUGAAUCUGCAGAGGCUGCAGCAAAAAUGCUGGAGGAAAUGCAAAAGAAGAAUCAGCAAAUGUUGGAGGAGGAAGAAAAAAGUUAUCAGGAACAUGUGAAACAACUGACUAAGAAGAUGGAGCAGGACAGGGUCCAAUUAAUGGCAGAGCAAGAGGAGGCUCUGGCUCUUAAACUUCGGGAACAGCUCUUCUUACUAAAGGAAGGAUCCCAAAAUAAGAACAGACAACUUCAGAGGGAAAUAGACAAUCUCAAAAAAAGAAUGGCAAGACCACCACCGGAAUCUUGUAUCAUAAGCUAAUGACCAAAGGAAAAGAGAUUCCCUGAUCACUCUGCCCAAGGCAUAACUCAAGCAGUUUUAGAAUCCAGAAAACUGUCACAACUUGAGAAAAUGUGACCUUCUUCAAGCUGAUAAAAGAAAUCUAAAAAUAAAUAAAUAAAUAAAUAAAUAACCCUUCAGUUAACAUACAUACUUAAUGAUUAAAAAAAAAACAACAACAAUGAUUUGUCCCUAACACAGGAAUAAAGCAAGAAUGUGCAGCUUCUCAACUCCUGUUAAACAGUAUAAUAAAAGGCUUCCUACAAUAUGGAAAAAAGGAAGGGAGGGAGGAAGGAAGGAAGGAAGAAAGGAAAGGAAAAGAAAGUAGGAAGAAAGGAUAAGAAAGGAUAAAAUAAAACUGCUCUGUUUUUACACACUAUGAUUAUUCACAUAGAAAAAUCCCAGGGAAUCUUCAACAAUAAAAGGAAAACAACAACAACAAAAACUCUUGGCACAAAUAUGUGAGUUUAACAAGGUUGUAAGAUUCAAGGUCAAUUCACAAAAAUCCACAUAACAACUGUAUUUUUAUAUAAAAGCAAUGGACUAUUGGAAACCAAAAAUUAAAAAACAAUACCAUUUACAAUAGGUGUUUUUUGAAAAUGGAAUACUUAGGUAGAAAUAUAACUAAACACACAUGAACUUCUAUGCUUCUAUCUUCAUUCUAAGAACAAUAGAUUAUGGCAUCUAUCAUGAUGUAUGAAUGUCCUUAGAUUCCAACUCCCUUGUAGUUUUUAUGAUUUUACUUUUACUCAUUGUAGAGAAGAAGGUUCAAGACCCUUAUUUUUAGAGUUAUCCCUGACAAAAGCAUGUGCCUAUUAUUUGUUAAGAUUCGCUUAGCACUAAAAAUAUGUCAAUUGUAGGGGGCAGGAGGGUAUGGGGGGGUUAAUGGG